rnacentral:rRNA from 1 species
CCUACGGGGGGCAGCAGUGGGGAAUUUUCCACAAUGGGCGAAAGCCUGAUGGAGCAACGCCGCGUGUGUGAUGAAGGUCUUCGGAUCGUAAAGCACUUUCGACCGGGACGAAAAACCUCUGGCUAACAUCCAGGGGCCUGACGGUACCGGGAGAAGAAGCACCGGCUAACUCUGUGCCAGCAGCCGCGGUAAUACAGAGGGGGCAAGCGUUGUUCGGAAGCGCUGGGCGUAAGGCGGGCAAGUGAGAUGUGAAAGCCCAUGGCUUAACCAUGGAAGUGCGUCUGAAACUGCCGAGCUUGAGUGCCGGAGAGGAUGGCGGAAUUCCGCAAGUAGAGGUGAAAUUCGUAGAUAUGCGGAGGAACACCGGUGGCGAAGGCGGCCAUCUGGACGGUAACUGACGCUGAGACGCGAAAGCGUGGGGAGCAAACAGGAUUAGAUACCCUUGUAGUC